rnacentral:rRNA from 1 species
CAGUAGCCGCGGUAAUGCGAAGGGUGCAAGCGUUAAUCGGAAUUACUGGGCGUAAAGCGUGCGUAGGCGGUUUGUUAAGUCUGUUGUGAAAUCCCCGGGCUCAACCUGGGAAUGGCAAUGGAUACUGGCAAGCUAGAGUGUGUCAGAGGAUGGUGGAAUUCCCGGUGUAGCGGUGAAAUGCGUAGAGAUCGGGAGGAACAUCAGUGGCGAAGGCGGCCAUCUGGGACAACACUGACGCUGAGGCACGAAAGCGUGGGGAGCAAACAGGAUUAGAUACCCCGGUAGUCCCUGUCUCUUAUAC